GGUUGUUGGGAUGGUUAUUAGUUGCGCAGAGUGAAGGUUCAGUCGUAGUCGCCGCCGCCGCCGACAAAGAUGCAGUUACAGUCACAGUCGCCGCUCCGCCGCCGCCGCCGCCGCAGCAGCAAAUGGAAGUAGGUCCUCAGCAUGUCGUGGUGUGCCGGAUUCCUCACCCUGUUCAGAAACUCUCUUUGCAUUCAAUGCAGCUAACCUCAAAAGAAAUUUGAACAAACUGUGUUAGGGAAAAAGAGUGCCGAUCCGAAGGGGUACCCGUUCCCAUUCAUCAACCGCCGUCGGAAACCCUAAAAAUUGUGGAAUCUUCCCGCUGGUAAUCAAAGCGCCGAUCCGAAGUCUACACUAAUUUUACCGAAGAAACAAUUGAAUUAUGUAGAUGUUUCAAACUUUUCGUGGAAUGAGAAAAGGACGGGACAAGGAGAAUCAUCCAUUCUUAGUAGAUCCUACCUGUACCCUUUGAGUGGGGAUACUGAUUCUGCAGGUUCUGAGCAGUAAAAUCAUCAGUGUAUCUGAAGAUAUAAAGACUGGAUGUACGAUUGUGCUGUCAAAAUAUCUAGUGGAAAUUGGCGAGCCACAUAAUCCCAAGAUAUUACUGCUUUCAGUGACCGCCAUGCUGGGUAUUAGGUGAUUCAGUUGACAAUGUGGAUAUGAUGCUGCUAAGGAUAAAUGGAGAAUCGGAGAAGGCUAUGGACCAAAGACUACAAGAUAUGAAGCAUGUUUAUUUUUUAUAAAUUUAGACAAGACACUGUAUUAAUUUCUACUUCAACUUAUACAUUACAGUUAAGGGUAUGAAUUAAGUAGAAGUUUCAUUGAGGGUGGGAAAUAGACAUUAAAAUUGCAAGUUUAUGUAAUUCUUUUUAUUAUUGAUAUUUUACCUUUUAAGCAUUGUAUA